rnacentral:rRNA from 1 species
UACGAAGGGAGCUAGCGUUGUUCGGAAUCACUGGGCGUAAAGCGCACGUAGGCGGAUGUGUCAGUCAGGGGUGAAAUCCCGGAGCUCAACUUCGGAACUGCCUUUGAUACAGCACGUCUUGAGUCCGAUAGAGGUGGGUGGAAUUCCUAGUGUAGAGGUGAAAUUCGUAGAUAUUAGGAAGAACACCGGUGGCGAAGGCGGCCCACUGGAUCGGUACUGGCGCUGAGGUGCGAAAGCGUGGGGAGCAAACAGG